UGGGGAAUAUUGCACAAUGGGGGAAACCCUGAUGCAGCAACGCCGCGUGCGGGAUGACGGCCUUCGGUUUGUAAACCGCUUUCAGCCAUGACGAAGCUUUUGUGACGGUAGUGGCAGAAGAAGCACCGGCUAACUACGUGCCAGCAGCCGCGGUGAUACGUAGGGUGCGAGCGUUGUCCGGAAUUAUUGGGCGUAAAGAGCUUGUAGGCGGUUUGUCGCGUCGAAAGUGUAAACUCAGUGCUUAACGCUGAGCCUGCUUUCGAUACGGGCUGACUAGAGGAAGGUAGGGGAGAAUGGAAUUCCCGGUGGAGCGGUGGAAUGCGCAGAUAUCGGGAGGAACACCAGUGGCGAAGGCGGGUCUCUGGACCUUUCCUGACGCUGAGAAGCGAAAGCGUGGGUAGCAAACAGG
rnacentral:rRNA from 1 species